UACGAAGGGGGCUAGCGUUGCUCGGAAUCACUGGGCGUAAAGCGCACGUAGGCGGAUUGCUAAGUCAGGGGUGAAAUCCUGGAGCUCAACUCCAGAACUGCCUUUUGAUACUGGCGGUCUCGAGUCCGGGAGAGGUGAGUGGAACUGCGAGUGUAGAGGUGAAAUUCGUAGAUAUUCGCAAGAACACCAGUGGCGAAGGCGCUCACUGGC
rnacentral:rRNA from 1 species